CCUACGGGAGGCAGCAGUGGGGAAUUUUGCGCAAUGGGGGAAACCCUGACGCAGCAACGCCGCGUGGAGGAUGAAAUCCCUUGGGAUGUAAACUCCUUUCGAUAGGGAAGAUAAUGACGGUACCUAUAGAAGAAGCCCCGGCUAACUUCGUGCCAGCAGCCGCGGUAAUACGAGGGGGGCAAGCGUUGUUCGGAAUUAUUGGGCGUAAAGGGUGCGUAGGCGGUUUGACAAGUCUUAUGUGAAAUCUUCGGGCUCAACCCGAAGUCUGCAUGGGAAACUGUCGGGCUUGAGUAUGGGAGAGGUGAGUGGAAUUUCCGGUGUAGCGGUGAAAUGCGUAGAUAUCGGAAGGAACACCUGUGGCGAAAGCGGCUCACUGGACCAUAACUGACGCUGAUGCACGAAAGCUAGGGGAGCAAACAGGAUUAGAUACCCUGGUAGUCCUAGCCCUAAACGAUGAUUGUUUGAUGUGGGGGGUACCCAAUCCUCCCGUGUCGAAGCUAACGCGAU
rnacentral:rRNA from 1 species